ensembl:lincRNA
CCUUCUGCUGCGUUCUGCAACUUUAAAAGCCUUCCUUGGGGUUCUGAGCAAGGAUGUCUGACUCGAAUGACCUGAGAUUUGGACAUUUUCCCGUUUUCUCUCAAGUGUAGCUUUAAUAUUGUGAGUUUAAAUUCACCAAAAGAGGCCCAGAUAUCAAGUCGAGUGAAUUUCACAGCAUCAUCUUCUGUUUUAAUCGUUUCUGAAGUCAUAUCCUUUAGGGUGAACCCACAACAAUGCAGGUCAGAGAGACUGCGCGCCCUAAAGCAAACCAGUUAAAAUGUCAGGCCAGAUCUUCAAGCUGCAGGAUUGCAAGCAGCUCAUAAACUUCCAGUCCCCAUCCUGAGACAAGGCGUGUGACUUAAGGACCUGCUUGCACUCCCGCUCUCCACACCCUGUCCCCUGCCCGCACCUGCCCAAAUGGCCUCCUUCCUCUAGAACCUGGACGGUGGGGAAGCGUGCUCCUGAUGCCCCGGGGUGGGUGCAGGGCGGGGGACCAGCAAAGGAGACCCAAGGGCGCUAGAACCCGGGAGCACAAACCACCCUUAGAGCCUGAGGGACCCUCAGAUUCGUGGGAGACCACAGGCACCCGCAGAGGCAGUUUUCCUCCCCUGAACAAUGCUAGUUCUUCUCGGCCCCAGGAUCUCCACUAAUGUGUCUUUCCGCUUCCUCACAGGACUCCAAGCUGCCCUCCCCUCUGCCGCAUCUGAGGCUGGAAAAACUUCCUAUAAGAAGAGAAAGCCACCAGUACGAUGUGGCUUGAAGACUCUGGAAAGUCACAGACCAGACCCUGCAGAAGGUUCCUCGUGUGUGCCUGGGCAACCUUGCCUCCAUCCUCUGGCCCCAGUUCCUGCCACUCACGUGCAGUCAGCAAUCUUACAUGAACUCUGCGGUAAUGUCUGAAGAAUCUGGCUCCCAGUGUUUGAUAAUGACGAGAUAUGCAUGACCAAGGAGACUGUGUGAUGUCUGCACAGUUCGAAAGCCCGCAUUCCUGUUACUUUCCAAUCUCAGGUCAGCAUUUUGGAACUUUUCUGCUUUAAUUUUUCCACACACACCUCUCGCUGCCACCACCUACCAAAACAAAGCAAACAGAAAGUUUGAGCAAGAAUUUACAUCUGGGAAAAUGCUUCUACUCAUCAAGAGUGGAAUUCCUUUUUACGCCUAUAAUUGAUUCACAGCUUCAAAAAGCUGUGAAGUCAUACUUUGGUCAUGGAAGUUGCAGGAGACCAUAUUUGCCAACAUUUUAUUUUAAAGAAGGUAUUUAAAACUAUUUUACAUAUUAACCACGAUUUCUAGAAGUGAAGUUAUAAAAAUCAGAAGUUAUAUUUUACCUUUUGAUGAUAAGUGAAAAGAGAUUGCUCCAAGAAUGUUGUUUUCAAUAAAUUCAGUAUAACUGCAACACAAAAAUUCUGCAUACAGGCUUCAUAUACACACAUUAUAAUUUUAUGUAUUUAUCUUGAGAGUUGUAUAAUUAAUUUUUAAAAUGCAACAAAAAAUGUGAGGUUAAGUCUACUUUGCCAAUAAUGGAAGUGUCUCAUAGAUAAUUUUGAAUACAAUUAAAAUUUUGUUUUUAUCCUAAAAGGAACUGUCCUGUUGCUCAUUAUUAGUAUGUUGUCCACUUAUUGUUCUAUUUUUGGCUAAAUUGAAUUUAACUAAAGGAAAAAGAAAAUGUUGUGAAAUACCAAGGAUGAGCCAAGUUUUGUGGGUAAACUAAUUGAGAUGGUUGAUUUUGGUAUUAACUCUUUGGGGAAUAUCACUCUUGUUAAAAUUUAAGUAAGGAAACUAGUAGAAAUAUUUUAUUCUUUAAUCAAACUAUAUGUUUAAAAAAAAAUGCCAAAGAAGAAACUAAAAAAGUAGCACGUAUCCUGUUAAAGAGCCAUCAGCAUCCCAUUGGAAGCUCCAGCACUCUGACUUUGGAUUUGUAGGAUGGUCU